GCGCCCGCGCCCGUGUCGCCGCCGUGCCCGCGAGCGGGAGCCGGAGUCGCCGCCGCCCGAGCGCAGCCGAGCGCACGCCGAGCCCGUCCGCCGCCGCCAUGGCCACCACGGUGACCUGCACCCGCUUCACCGACGAGUACCAGCUCUACGAGGAUAUUGGCAAGGGGGCUUUCUCUGUGGUCCGACGCUGUGUCAAGCUCUGCACCGGCCAUGAGUAUGCAGCCAAGAUCAUCAACACCAAGAAGCUGUCAGCCAGAGCUCCCCACAUGCGGCUGUGCCCACCGACUGCCUAGUUUCGACCUUUGUGUAAAUAAGAGCACACUAUCACCAGAAGCUGGAGAGAGAGGCUCGGAUCUGCCGCCUUCUGAAGCAUUCCAACAUCG
rnacentral:lncRNA from 1 species